AUUGAACGCUGGCGGCAUGCUUUACACAUGCAAGUCGAACGGUAACAGGGUGCUUGCACCGCUGACGAGUGGCGAACGGGUGAGUAAUGCGUCGGAACGUGCCGAGUAGUGGGGGAUAACGCAUCGAAAGGUGUGCUAAUACCGCAUACGUACUGAGGUAGAAAGGGGGGGACCUUCGGGCCUCACGCUAUUCGAGCGGCCGACGUCUGAUUAGCUAGUUGGUGAGGUAAAGGCUCACCAAGGCGACGAUCAGUAGCGGGUCUGAGGGGAUGAUCCGCCACACUGGGACUGAGACACGGCCCAGACUCCUACGGGAGGCAGCAGUGGGGAAUUUUGGACAAUGGGCGCAAGCCUGAUCCAGCCAUGCCGCGUGUCUGAAGAAGGCCUUCGGGUUGUAAAGGACUUUUGUCCGGGAGCAAAUACCCAGUGCUAAUAACGCUGGGGGCUGAGAGUACCGGAAGAAUAAGCACCGGCUAACUACGUGCCAGCAGCCGCCGUAACAC
rnacentral:rRNA from 1 species